CUAAUGCUAAACACCAUGUACUCUGUUUCUCUUCUGCUGUUUCUGGCAGCUGCAUCCUGUGUUGAAUGCAUUGAGCUGGUCCAGCCUGCUGCCAUGGUUGUUAAACCUGGACAGUCUUUCUCCAUCACCUGUAAGGUUACGGGAUAUUCGGUCACCAGUAGAUACUGUACUAACUGGUUACGACACUCAGCAGGAAAAGCUCCAGAAUGGAUAGGAUAUUUCUGCAGUACGAGCAGUACUGGGGCCAAAGACUCACUAAAGAGCAAGAUCAGCUUCACUGCAGACUCGUCCAGCAACACAGUGUAUCUAAGAGGGCAGAACUUUCAGCCUGCAGACAGCGCAGUGUAUUACUGUGCUCGAGAUGCACAGUCAUGCAACCAGCUGUAG